rnacentral:rRNA from 1 species
AUUGAACGCUGGCGGCAGGCCUAACACAUGCAAGUCGAACGAGUGGCGGACGGGUGAGUAAUGUCUGGGAAACUGCCUGCUGGAGGGGGAUAACUACUGGAAACGGUAGCUAAUACCGCAUACCAUCAGAUGUGCCCAGAUGGGAUUAGCUUGUUGGUGGGGUAACGGCUCACAAAGGCGACGAUCCCUAGCUGGGCUGAGAGGAUGACCAGCAACACUGGAACUGAGACACGGUCCAGAGUCCUACGAGAGGCAGCAGUGGAGAAUAUUGCCCAAGGGGCGCGAGCCGGAUGCAGCCGUGCCGCAUGUAUGAAAAAGGCCUUAUGGUUGUAAAGUACUUUCAGCGGGGAGUCGUUACCCGCAGAAGAUGCACCGGCUAACUCCGUGCCAGCCGCCGCGGUAAUUC